rfam:Corvus brachyrhynchos isolate BGI_N302 unplaced genomic scaffold scaffold543, whole genome shotgun sequence.
CCGCGCUCCAUGACGGGAAUCGCCAAAACGCCCCCGGCACCGGGCGCUUCCCAGAUCCCGCGCGG